rnacentral:rRNA from 1 species
AUUGAACGCUGGCGGCAGGCCUAACACAUGCAAGUCGAACGAGUGGCGGACGGGUGAGUAAUGUCUGGGAAACUGCCUGAUGGAGGGGGAUAACUACUGGAAACGGUAGCUAAUACCGCAUACCAUCAGAUGUGCCCAGAUGGGAUUAGCUAGGUGGUGGGGUAAUUGCUCACCUAGGCGACGAUCCCUAGCUGGUCUGAGAGGAUGACCAGCCAAACUGGAACUGAGACACGGGCCAGACUCCUACGGGAGGCAGCAGUGGGGAAUAUUGCACAAUGGGCGCAAGCCUGAUGCAGCCAUGCCGCGUGUAUGAAGAAGGCCUUCGGGUUGUAAAGUACUUUCAGCGGGGAGGCGUUACCCGCAGAAGAAGCACCGGCUAACUCCGUGCCAGCAGCCGCGGUAAUUC